AGUGAACGCUGGCGGUAGGCCUAACACAUGCAAGUCGAACGGCAGCACAGUAAGCGCUUGCUCUUACGGGUGGCGAGUGGCGGACGGGUGAGGAAUACAUCGGAAUCUACUUUUUCGUGGGGGAUAACGUAGGGAAACUUACGCUAAUACCGCAUACGACCUACGGGUGAAAGCAGGGGAUCUUCGGACCUUGCGCGAUUGAAUGAGCCGAUGUCGGAUUAGCUAGUUGGCGGGGUAAAGGCCCACCAAGGCGACGAUCCGUAGCUGGUCUGAGAGGAUGAUCAGCCACACUGGAACUGAGACACGGUCCAGACUCCUACGGGAGGCAGAAGUGGGGAAUAUUGGACAAUGGGGGCAAGCCUGAUCCAGCCAUACCGCGUGGGUGAAGAAGGCCUUCGGGUGGUAAAGCCCUUUUGUUGGGAAAGAAAAGCAGCAGGUUAAUACCCCGCUGUUCUGACGGUACCCAAAGAAUAAGCACCGGCUAACUUCGUG
rnacentral:rRNA from 1 species